rnacentral:ncRNA from 1 species
UAUUUUUAUGAAAUUAAUAGAAAGUUUGAUUUUGGUUUGAUUAUUUAUUUAAUGAUUAUUUUGCAUGUAAAUUUUUGUGGGUAUGAAAAUUAUUUAUUUUAAAAAAAUAAAUAUUAUUUAUUAUAAAUUAUUUGCAGCAUUUGAUUUUAAUAAUUAAAUAAUUUUAGAAUUAUUAAUUAUUUUAAUAUAGGCAAAAAUUGUGCCAGCAGCUGCGGUUAGACAAUUUAUGUAAUUAAAUAUUAUUAAUUUAUAAAUUUUAUUUAUUAUUUAUUUAAUAUAUUUUUAAUAAUUAGGUGAAAUUUUUAUUAUAUAAAUUUAUUUUUUUUUAUUAUUUAAUUUAUGAAAUCUAAAUAUUAAACUAGGAUUAGAUACCCUAUUAUUUUAGAAUUAAAAUUUAAAAUUUUAAGGAUUAUUAGUUAUUUUCUUUAAACUUAAAAAAAUUGGCGGUAUUUAAAUCUAAUUAGGGGAAUUUGUUUAUUAAUUGAUAAUCCUCAUGAAACCUUACUUUAUUUUUUAACUUGUUUAUUGUCGUUAUCAAAAUAUUUUUUAAGAAAUAAUAAUUUUUAAUAUUUUUUAUAAAAAUUUAUUUCAGAUCAUAGUGCAGUUAUAUUAAAGUUUAAAUGAAUUACAAUAAAAUUUUAUUUAUAUGAAUUUUUAAUUGAAAAAUUAGAAUGAAAGUGGACUUAAUAGUAAAAUUAAAUUAUUAAAUUAAUUUGAAUUAAGAAUUAAAUAUGUACAUAUUGCCCGUCGCUCUCAUUAUACUUAAAAUGAGAUAAGUCGUAACAAAGUAAGUGUAUUGGAAAAUGUACUUAGAAUGUAA